GUCUACUAGGUGGUAGGAAAAGAGUGAAUGAGUGAGUGUACGGGGUGGUGUUUGUGUGUGUGUUUACUUUUUCAAACAGUACUCUUUCUUUCUUCCCCCAUUGGCAGCAGCUGCACCAGUUGAACCCCAACUGCAUGCAUUUUCUUCAUUCAAAUCUCGCUGAUUCCACCAAUCUUGGAAUCUUGAGAUGGGGUUUGAGCUGAGGUUGUAGUUUUUAGGGUAGGUGAUCAGAGAGUCUAAUUAGCACUGUAGAAUCAAAAACAUUGAUUAGUGGGUUUUUUCUUCUUACUUGUUAGUAGUCCCGAGUUUUUAUUCUAG